rnacentral:rRNA from 1 species
UACAGAGGUCUCAAGCGUUGUUCGGAUUCAUUGGGCGUAAAGGGUGCGUAGGUGGCGCUGUAAGUCGGGUGUGAAAUUUCGGAGCUUAACUCCGAAACUGAAUUCGAUACUGCGGUGCUUGAGGACUGGAGAGGAGACUGGAAUUCAUGGUGUAGCAGUGAAAUGCGUAGAGAUCAUGAGGAAGACCAGUGGCGAAGGCGGGUCUCUGGACAGUUCCUGACACUGAGGCACGAAGGCCAGGGGAGCAAACGGG